CAGCCGCCGCGGUAAUACGUAGGUGGCAAGCGUUGUCCGGAAUUAUUGGGCGUAAAGGGCUCGCAGGCGGUUUCUUAAGUCUGAUGUGAAAGCCCCCGGCUCAACCGGGGAGGGUCAUUGGAAACUGGGAAACUUGAGUGCAGAAGAGGAGAGUGGAAUUCCACGUGUAGCGGUGAAAUGCGUAGAGAUGAGGAGGAACACCAGUGGCGAAGGCGAUUCUCUGGUCUGUAACUGACGCUGAGGAGCGAAAGCGUGGGGAGCGAACAGGAUUAGAUACCCCUGUAGUCCCUGUCUCUUAUAC
rnacentral:rRNA from 1 species